rnacentral:tRNA from 1 species
GGGGUUGUAGCUCAGCGGUAGAGCGUAUGCUUUGCAUCCGACUGCAAGCAUGCAUAAGGCCCUGGGUUCGAGACCCAGCAACUCCA